rnacentral:lncRNA from 1 species
ACCCUAGCUCUUUAUUACAUAUCCCACUCUGGUCACUGGUAACAAUGAUGACCCCUUUUCCUCCCUUAUCAAAAACACCUAAUCUCUUUCUCUUCCCUCUGUCCUCCGGUGUAUAAAUACCCUAUAAAGUCAUUGCACUCGUUACUUAUUUGAAAUAGACAUUGCCAAAAACAGAGCCUAAUAUUGUUGGAUACCGAGCGAGAAAGCUCUUUAAUGAUUUUGUUGGAUACCGGCUCAUUACUUAUUUGGAACAUGGAAGAAGAGUAUACAUAAUUGACUUAGACCUCAUGGUUUAUACCGCUAUCUCUCGUCUCUUAUCUUUUGAUCCUCUUAGAUUCUCUUAUCUCUUUGAUCUUAUGAGAUUCUAUACAGAAAGCCCCGUUACCUCUUUAAGGAUUAUGACUCGCUACUGGCACACCCAAAAUCAGAGGCUAUUGGCGGAACACUUAACUGCAUUGCCUCUGUCUUAAUGCAAAACACGUUUACCACGCUGUGAGCAAGCAUAAGGGGAUUUGAUUAUCAUCUUCUUCUAAAACUAUUGGAUAAGUGAGAAGCGUCUUCUAAGAAAAACGAAAUCAUGAAAAGAAAGAUCUGAUAGAUGCUUAUCAACACACAGAUGGCAGGCUGGCAAACUACGUACGUUGUCUACACCACCUUGUCGUACAUCUUUCCUCGGAUAUCCAAGCUCGCGGGCGGCAAAAGCACUCCAACCUGCACAGGAGCAAGCCAAGUGAGAAAACGAAAAAAGGAAUAGCGGAAUGGAACUAGUUCUACACCGGACGCUUACGCUUUCUUAUGCCGAUUCCCAUUCCUAGAACAAUAUAAGGGAGAACAAUAAGAAGUAAGGAGCUCUCCUAAGCCACGUGGAAAAGAUAUACGAAAAUCCAGAUGGGGCCCUCCCAAUGCAAUUGAGUAGCACGAUGCAUAAACGGAGAAAGCAUCAAAACGUUAGGGCGUGUAGCUGACGAUGCUUAGUUUGCUGUAUUUCAAAGAUGCUGUUGUUUGCUACUAUACUAAAGGGCUAAGUUGACGAUGCUGUUGUUUGCUACUAUACUAUAACAUCACCAAAUUCAGUGGCGUCCAUUGAAGCGAAAAAGGAAGUCAAUUAGUCUUUCGAAUUCCAAACUUUUCUUUCUGCCGGUUCGGGGCAACCAAGCAAACCGAGUCAAAGAAACAUGAAUACAUACAUAAUUAGGAAAGGACGUAAUAAAGUAUUCUAGGAGAGAACACGUGUAAUAAAGUAUUCUAGGAAAGAACGUAAGAGUCUUAAAGUAUUCUAUCAAUAUCAAAUCUGUCGGGUAAAGCGCUAUGCUAUUGAUUAAUGUCUGCUUCUUCAAACAUCUGUCAAUGACAAAAAAACACACACACUGUCGGGGGUAAUGGUAAUGAAAAGAUAGAAUAUGUUCGACAGUCUUCACUCUAAGUAAUGUUUACAAAAGUAGUCAAAUCAAUGCUUCGACAGUCUUCACUCUAGGUAAUGUUUACAAAAGUAGUCAAAUCAACGCUAUAAUCCAAAUGUUAUAGAAAGGUGCUAAGAGCCUUGUUUGAAUUGGAAUUGUAUAUCGAUUGUGGUAGUAACUGGAAUUGUAUAUCGAUUGUGGUAGCAACCAGGCUAUUGCCGGAAAGUCAAUCCCUCUUAUCGCCCGGCUCUCUUACUUACGGGAGACAUAAGAAGUAGGUGCGAAGCCUUUGAAAGCCAAAACACAAGCUUUCUUCGUGCCCAUACUCCUUUUAGCCUUUGUUACAGAAGUCGAAGGAUCCCUUGGUUGCUCUCUUGCGCCGAGUAGGUAGUAGCGGAUUCGGGUUGCCUAAGUAUAAGGCAUAGAACUACUGAUUCCCUUGCGAUCUUGUCUUCCUUAUUACUAUAGAAGGAUCAGCGCCCUCAUCAUAGUAAGGCUGAUUCGCUGAAAGGAAAUAGGAAAAUGCUAGGCAUAGCAAAGUCACCUUUGGAUCAGGAUCCCCUCCUCUCUUGCCUUUUCCAACUUCAAAGGAUCCUCCAGACUAAACUAGCAACUAGGCAAUAAGUACGUGAGUAUAGCCCAGACAAGUCCAAGGCCUGAACAAAGGACUUUAAGCACUUACGGAGUUUAGAAGUGAGUUUACUUCGAGUGUUGUUGGCGAUAAGUCUAUUUCUUUCUAUUCGAGUGGAAGUUUCCGUUUAAGUAGAAUUUGACUGACACACAUAUAGAGGAAAGUCUUUGUAACCAAAGGUAUAGGUAAGGUAGCUUUCAGAUCCAAGUCGUCGUCAAAUAGUUGCGGGAAGGGCAAAGCUUAGUCUCAUGUUGCGCUAAGGAGCCCCCCGCCCUCGGUCGACAAAGAAUCUCUUCCCUCUUAGAAGCUAUAAGUCCUUCUUGUCUUUCUGCAAGAUCCAGAUUGGAAGCGCUACUAAGUGGUCCAACCCCAAGCAUUUCAAAGGCGUGACGUUUGAGUUGUUGGUUCUUUAAAUACAUUUGAGCUUAGAAAGAGAGACCUGUUCCCCGUAACUCUUAUUCAAUCUCAAUCAUAUAUUAUAUAAGUGCUAUACCUAACCUAACUGCGAAACUCUAUUGACUGCUUCCUGCGAGAAUGGAAUGAAACUGCAAAAGGGUGAACUACCGUUAGCUUACUUCUUCGGGCAAUAUUCUCUGAUCUUAUAUGAUCUUCUGCGCACUUUAGGGUAUUUGUGCCCGACUUAGUGUAAUGGCGGUGAAUUCGAUACGGCGCUCGAGAUAGAUUCAAUUAAAUGGUGCAGUGUGUUGACAUUCAUUCCUACAACUUGGCUUUCGCUGUAAGAUACCUGAGACUUUGCUUUCCAACCGAGUUUAGAAUUAAUCUGAAAUUGCUAACAUUAAGUAAAAGAGUAUUAGUCGGAUUAGUAUAAGUAAAAGUAGGAAUACCGGAGUGGAAGACCCCUUCUUAUAACUUAACUGAAUUAUGCUCCAUUCUUUGUACCACAACAAGCAACGGGUGCAAAGGUCUUCCUCGACCUCAAAAGUAAGAGCACCCCGACAAUAGAUUCUAAACUAGCAGACUCCGGAGCACCCCCAAGAGACUCUAUUGAAACACUGAUAUGCUAGAAACUCCAUUGAAACACUGAUAUGCUUUCUUGAUCUUUAUAAUAAGAUGUAAGAUGAAACAGGACCAGAUUCGUUUGUUGCCAGAGGAGAGGGAAUAGAAGUAGUGCGAGUUAGGUCUACGAGAUCAUCAACUGGAGCAGGACAUUCUCCACGACACCACGCUUCAAAACCACGACAGAGGUAAGUAACAAACCAUAGGCAUAGAGCUAAAUCACCAACCUAGUUGUACAAGUACUCAGUCUCUCUCACCAACCCAUAGGCUCCUUCGCGAGUGCGCACCGAUACUAGAACUUAUGAUUUAGAUACGGAUAUCUAAGAUGAAACUAGAACUCCACUUUCAUUUCGAACAGCAUUUCCUCGAAUAACGGAUUCUGUUGCGAGAAUGCACAUCGCUGCUAAGUGAUUCUCUAAUUACCGGUUUCCAUACAAUACCACAGCUUGCUGCUGACUCUCUUGAUGGCAUUAAUUAGGGGCACAGGACAGAUAUAGUAGUGAAGCUCUGGCUCUUGAAACUGACUCUCAACUUGAUUUCCUUCCCGCUGCAGAUCCGGAUAAAGCUUAUUCGGGAGCUCCCAAAGCGGCUUCUCCUGCUUCGGCUUCUGUAUCAAAGCCUUCUUUCUAUUACUAUCUUGACUAUAUUCUAUCUUCACCACCCCUAUCUUUCCUUAAAGAUCGGAAGCAAGAUCAGAUACAACAUCAAAGUAAAGUAGAAAGCCCCCAUUAUUAAUGGUCCUGUGUUAACCUGUUUUCGACCUAAGGUUAACUUCAAAGAACUGGUUGUUGCUAAGGUGAACUCGGAGUUAAGACCACAGAGUUAUAUAGUAUAGUAGUUAUCAGAGAAGAAGACGAAGCCAGUUUUCCCUGCCCUCUCAGGCUCCUCUAAGAAUUGAGUGGACUUGCCGCUUCCAGUGCUUUCAGCAGAAGAAAAAGAAGCAUGAAUUUUAGUAACAUUGGAUUAAGUUGAGUUAAAGUUUGAGUAACAUUAAGAUUUGAGUCACAGUCAUUUUAGUAACAUCCGCAUUGGGCGUAUAACCAUUUUAGUAACAAAGGAAUCGGUCACUGGGCUAUCCGAACAAGACUUGAAGAUGAAACUCGGGGUGCCCUAAGAAGCAAGUAAACCCUAAACUAAGUGAAGUAAACCCUAAACUCAAGAUAUGGGUGUGUAAAAUACUCGCAUCUUUAGAUGUUUGAUGGGAAAUGACCUAUGAAAUAGACUUCUCGGCUGUAGAAAUGAAUUGACGCCUAUAAUCUUUCUGGUUCCUUCCUUUAUUACCAAGUCAAGUUUUGGGGAGCUCUUCCCACUCCGAUAUCAAGUAUCUAGUACUAUUGGUAUGAAUUCUCCGAUCCUAUCAUAAAUAAAAGGUAUUUCUUCUUUUUAGUCAACUGGUUCUCUUUCCACUCUUGCUCCCCUCUCGCCAACACCAACAAAGGGAGCGGUCUUCAACAGGGCAGCUAGUGUUCUCAUUUCACUGGAGCCCUCUAUUCUAUUUAGUUUUAGUUGACAGCUGCUUGGCUUGUUCAAUUCUGUAGGCUGAGGCUCCUCUCUGCUAACUUAAUUAGGCUUCUAUCUCUUGAACUUUCUCUCUUUCACUAUUGAAUACAUACCUGCUUGUUUGUCUCAUACUUUCAUUUGAGAACACAUGGUUGUUUACUUAUAUUUGUAUAGGAGAUGUAGAAGAUAGUUCAAUUACUUACUUGUUUUCUUCCUUGACUCUAUAAAUUAGUAGAAUACCAUUGAAGUUGACCCUGGCUUUCCCCUAUGGCAAAUUCUUAUGUUCCUGCCUCGGAUCUUGAAAGAAACCCGCUUAUUCUUGCUGCCCCUGGUCUGCGGCCACAGCUCUAAUCUAACUGGUCACUUACUUACUUGGCGGGUGCUCGAUAGUGCCUCUGGUCUCUGUGCUUUACAAUAGGGUGAGGCUGCCAAUGGAAUACUCUUGCUUGAGCUUUGAACAUGAUGCUUUCCUUUCUAGAUAGCCUGAGCACUAAGACAAUCUCGAUGAAUCACAAAGAUCAAAGAGAAGCAGAGCUCGUUGCAGAGGAUAUAUAUAGGUAAAGUAGCCCUCAACUCCCGGUAGCAGAGGAUAUAUAUAGGUAUGAUGGUUGGCCUUUUCUUGAAUAAAGAGAAAGGUGCUUCAAGCGAACUUGAUUAAGGCUUUUUAAACAUUAUAGAAAGAGUAAUUCAUUCCUCAGGCAAAAGAAAGUGUACAGAGCAAUUAGGCUCCGGGAAGAUAAACCCAAAUUAUCAACAAUGCUUUCGGGAGGCUUAUAGGUGAUUUGCUUCAAUUCAAGACAGUGAUGAGUAAGGGGGGGAGGCUUUGA